CAAAUACUCCCUCCGUCCGGAAAUACUUGUCAUGAAAAUGGAUAAAAGGAAAUGUAUCCAGACAUAUUUUAGUUUUAGAUACAUCUCUUUUUAUCCAUUUUGAUGACAAGUAUUUUUGGAUGGAGGGAGUAGAAA
rfam:Triticum aestivum genome assembly, contig: Triticum_aestivum_CS42_TGACv1_scaffold_023850_1AS